CUUCUUCUGGCAAGGACAAUCCCAUGAUCACGAAGGUGGUUGUCCCAGGACAGGGCUAUCCCAUUGCAUUCCGGGUGUGCUGACACCAACCACAUCCCCAAAUUGCGGGAUAUUCAACUGCAGGGUUUGUGGUCGUGGGGGACUGCGUUCACGCUCUUUUCUA